rnacentral:rRNA from 1 species
UGGGGAAUAUUGGACAAUGGGGGCAACCCUGAUCCAGCAAUGCCGCGUGUGUGAAGAAGGUCUUCGGAUUGUAAAGCACUUUCGACGGGGACGAUGAUGACGGUACCCGUAGAAGAAGCCCCGGCUAACUUCGUGCCAGCAGCCGCGGUAAUACGAAGGGGGCUAGCGUUGCUCGGAAUGACUGGGCGUAAAGGGCGCGUAGGCGGCGGCGUAAGUCAGCUGUGAAAUUCCUGGGCUUAACCUGGGGGC